GGAUAAGAAGGCAAUCUGGCUGUAACAUCUGUCAUCCUAUUAAAUGCUAGGGUUGAUGCAGCGGAUCUGGCUGGCUAGGAGGGUGUCCCCUUCCUUUCUCACUGCUCCAUGUGCGCUCCUCCCAAAGCUGUGUGCUAAGUAAAAGAGGAUGACCAUCGCUGAUGGAGGAGGACCCAUCUUCAGUCAAGGGUAUGUGAGUAGCUGGGCUCCCCUGCUAGAACCUCCAAACAAGCUCUCAAGAAGAGAAAAAAUCAACCACAUAAUAUUAUUCUUCA
rnacentral:snRNA from 1 species